UCAUCAGAUAGGGUGAUCCUUACCUGCGCCUUUUUUAAAGGCUCAGUGAGGAAAGUGAUGAUUGGUAAGGUAUGAUCCUCGUGAAUUAUAUCGCUGGGACCGUAAGGCUGCAACACCUUACGGUACCUUCCUCUGAA